AUACGUAGGGAGCGAGCGUUGUCCGGAAUUACUGGGCGUAAAGGGCGCGUAGGCGGCGCUUCAAGUCGUCUGUCAAAUGGGAGGGCUUAACCCUUUUUCGCAGACGAAACUGGAGAGCUUGAGAAGCAGAGAGGCAAACAGAAUUCCUGGUGUAGCGGUGAAAUGCGUAGAUAUCAGGAAGAAUACCAGUGGCGAAGGCGGUUUGCUGGCUGCAUACUGACGCUGAAGCGCGAAAGCCAGGGGAGCAAACGGGAUUAGAUACCCCGGUAGUCCUGGCAGUAAACGAUGUAUGCUGGGUGUGAGACUAGCGAUAGUUUCGUGCCGAGGUUAACGCGAUAAGCAUACCGCCUGGGGAGUACGGUCGCAAGAUUGAAACUCAAAGGAAUCGACGGGG
rnacentral:rRNA from 1 species